GACGAACGCUGGCGGCGUGCUUAACACAUGCAAGUCGAACGGAAAGGCCCUGCUUUUGUGGGGUGCUCGAGUGGCGAACGGGUGAGUAACACGUGAGUAACCUGCCCUUGACUUUGGGAUAACUUCAGGAAACUGGGGCUAAUACCGGAUAGGAGCUCCUGCUGCAUGGUGGGGGUUGGAAAGUUUCGGCGGUUGGGGAUGGACUCGCGGCUUAUCAGCUUGUUGGUGGGGUAGUGGCUUACCAAGGCUUUGACGGGUAGCCGGCCUGAGAGGGUGACCGGCAAGAGGGAGAAGGAGAGACGGCCAAGACGAGGAGGGGAGGGAGGAGGGGGGAAGAGAGGACGAUGGGAGGGAGAGUGAGGCAGCAAGGGAGGGUGGGGGAGGACGGGCGUAGGGUUGUAAGCAGGGUGGGGCGGGGAGGAAGAGGGGGUGAAGGUAAGGGGAAAAGAAGCACCGGCGAAGGACGUGACAGCAGCAGCGGUAAGAAGAGGAAGAGAAAACGUAUGAAC
rnacentral:rRNA from 1 species